UAUAUGUACAUAUACAUAAAAAAUGUAAAAGUAAUCAAUCCUGACCCGUUCAUUUCCUGUAAAGCACAAGUUAACACAGGCUUUGUACAACCGGACCAAGUUGAAUCAACGUGACCAAAACAAGUGUUUGUCCUUCAGAUAACACUUCAAACCUUUUGUUUCAAUCUUGAUUAUAUUUUUAAUUGCUUAUCAAAACUGAUUUACUUAUAAACAUAAGGAAUAAACAAAGAUAAGACAAAAAAAAACUAACCAGUUUUUUUUAUAACUCUCUCUCUCUCUCUCUCUCUCUCUCUCUCUCUCUCUCUCUCUCUCUCUCUCUCUCUUCAGGUAGCUACUAUUUUGUAAGGAUAAUAUGCUCUUGCGGUGCCUCGAGGUAAUACAUCAACUCUGCCCACUCACCAGUGUUUACCAGUGUGAGCGAGUGAGUUGCGGGAUGUGUGACUGUCGUUAAGUGGCUUGUCAUGAUUAAGUAGUUUGAGGAAAACAUACACGGUUACUGUUCCUUUACGUUGUUGUAUUAUGUCACUGUAGUGUUAGUUUGGCCUGUAUUCAGAAACUAUUCUGUGCCGCAUCUCCACUACUUUCAAAAGGCUCCAGUUCUAGUUGAAGCUACACGGGUUUUUAAAGGUGUUUCUUUUUUUAUGAUUGUAUUGACAGAUGAACAAUAACAGGAGAAACACUCUUGGGAAUCUGGCUAAUCAUCUCUGUGGCCUUUGAAAACAGUCGAGGUGAGAGAGCAAAGCAUUUCAGGAAACGGUCCUUUAUCUCAACGCACUUGAUGAAAAGCCAUGUUCUCGUAUGUGUAUGCAGAUGGAUUGUAGCUGCCUGCAUCACGGCGGCCAUUUUAUGAUUUGGGUAAUCAGGUUAUUGAGUUCACGAAAUGGUCGACUUCCGGGGGAUACUUGGUCCACGUCCUUUCUCCCAAGUCUGAUUCAGUACUGAUGGUUGUAUGUUAAGAGUAAAUACAGUUCCUCCAAAUACAGGCACUACUUGCCAUAUUAAGGAAGCGGUAAGCAGGCACUUGAUUCGAAGUCGUUAUGUUAUGUUUUGAGAAAAGAAGCAGUUGAUACUCUUGCUGUAUUGGUAUUAAAUUCAUUUGACGAUAAUAACGACAUAAAGGGUUAUGCAUACCUACUAUGAAAUAGGUUUGUAACCACUCCUAUAAAUACAGUAUUUCCCGAAAUAGUCAGGGUCUUAAUAAACAUAAGAAUUUUAUUAUUGGGCCAAAAGUGUAAACUGUAUUUAUCAGAACAUACGGCUGUGAGUUUCGAAUCCUGUGGUACGACGCUUGUAGUGCAUGAAUCAUACUACGAGUUGAGUGGAAGAGUAGCGCUAGUGUCGGGUCGAGAGGCCAGGAAGAAGGAUGUGUGUUGCCAGUGUUGCCACACGUGUAGCCACGAUACCAUUUAUCCAUAAGCUUGGGGCUCUUCAGAGGGCAGUGGGAAGGACACCACGUCCACGUGUGAAUUUACGCCUGUGAAAGGAAUGGCGAUCACUACCAGCUCGGCUCGUGAACACAUCCUCCGUUAUUGUUGGUGAGACUUCUGAUGAGGGAGGGAUGACGGGAUCAUGAAGAAAGCGACAGCGGGCCACUCACGUGAAUACACCAAGAUGUGACCAAACCUUGAUAGAAGCGUGGACAGACCGUAUUGACGCUCUGAUUUCAGUCACGUAGUAUUCCUGCGUGUUUAAUCUGUCCAAUAACUAUUUCGACAAUUUGUGGUUUCGUUACAAGUCUGCUUAAGUUAGGUUCUGUGGAAAGGACAAAAUACAUGCUCGUAAUACCUACUGUUCAUAAUGCGCUGCUUUUGACAGGUGGCACAAGAGGUGGAAGGUGAAGCGGAGGUUACCUCACACCGUCCGACUUCCUAUGACGUUACCGAAAGAGAAGCAUGAAUAAUUAGUUUUUUUUUAAUGUAAAUGUGAUCCCUAUCAAAAAAAAAAAAAAAAUUGUAGCUUACCCGGCACUGUCCAUUAUUUAGUCAAGCUCGACUUUUUUUCUGAUUUAGUAAUUAUUUAAUGAUAGUAGUGUGAAUAGAGUGGUGUGAAUAGAGUGAUCUGGUGCCGUGGCCUUAUCUGUUAUGAUGACCAUAUUAGGGGUGUUUGGUGAGCAAGGGGGUGCUAGCAACUCAACACUUCACAAGGCAUUACAACUUUCGGUCUGAAAUACAUAUUAAAAAAUGCCAUCUAUAUAGCUAAUAUUUGUGGGGGAAGUGUAAAAAGCUGACUGUGGUGGUGGUGUGCUUUAGGGUAACUUUGUGACGAUCCUACGCUGCAUGUACCAUUACCGUUUUGCCUCAAAGCGAAGAUAGUUUAUCAUGUACAUUAUUUACAUAUGAAUAGUGUUUCGAAAUUGACUUUUUUUUCUAUGCAUAUUUAACUUCAUUCCUAUACAGAGCUGAAGGAUUCACAUAGUUGUCAAAGUGAAACGCAGUGCUGCAACUUGUGUACUGCGUGUCGACCUUUAGCGCUGUGGGACACACCAUUCAACCCUGGUCAUGGUAGGUAAGCCUUUUGCAGUUGUGGUGGUAGCUGAACAUCAUUUGUAGCAGCAAAAUAAGAAGUAUCGUAGUCUGUAUCAGAAAACUUGUGUAAGAAAAAUUACUUUACUGUAUAUAUAAGUAAAAAAAAAUAUUACUAAUUACUUGUAUAUAUAAGUAGAAAAAAAUAUUACUUUAUUAGAACUAAUAAUAGUCUAUUAUUAUUCGACUUAAUACAAUAAUACGUAUUAAGUUAAUCUUACAUUGUACCUUAAGUUAUAUCGUGCAAGAACAUGCGACUUGUAAACAACCUUCUGGAGGCAGGAUUCUUGUGAGGUAGUGUGGAAGAACUCGUGAUGAAUGGGGAGACACUUGAGGAAGAGGAAAUGGUAAGAACUGUAGAAUAUUUUUGGAAAGAUGGCAGAGAUGGGAAUGAGUGGGAAAGAACUUGGAGCACUCAAGCUUAAGAUGGGAAAGUUGAAAAAGUUAGGAUGCAUGAGAUUAUGCAUCCUGAUUAGAAGACCUGUUCAAGCUGUGCCAAGGGCCUGGAAUUAAUGCAAUUCCCAAUUUAUAUAUAUUAUGGGGGAUAGAUGUUGGGAAUGCAGGAGUCUUCAACCUGGAGAGAAGAGAGAACCUGUCUCAGUGCUAGAUGCGAGAAAAUGUAUGAAAAUUUUUUGGAGAAGGGUGGCAUGAUGGGGGACAAUUAGUCAACUACUACAAGAGGAAAAAGGAUAGGAAAUUGCAUACUUGUGUGCAAAUAGCAAAAGUGAAUGAAGCAUUGAGAUUUAGAUGCAAAUUGGAGAUGAUACACUUUUAGCAUAGAGGAUUAAGUGUAAAACUAUAUAUUAAUAUGCUGAUCCAAAGGAUGCAAUGUUUUUUCUUGCAGCUGGUGUGAUGUAAAGUGUUGAUCCAAAGACUAACCAAGGCUGAGGACACCUGCAAGGACCUCAUAUUUGAGCUUAUUGCAUGUGCCAUGCCAAACCACAACAUACACAAAUCCUGCAUUUGCACUACAAUGAUAUAUCCAACACUAUCUGCACAACUGUACCUGCAAAUAACAUAGUCAGUAUUCAUAGGCACACAAAACAAACCAAAAGUCAGUAUGUGAGGAAUGAUGUGGCCCUGUGACCUUGGUCUCACACUGGUGUAUGGGGUUAAUCAGAUGUGAUGUGUGGCACCUCCCUCAAAGGGUUGCAUCAUUCUUCACAACUUCUCUCCAUUUGCUUCUGUCACACACACACAGUGCUCUAGUAUCUCCACCGUCUUUACUUUUUAAGGUCUCCUUUAUAUUGUAAGGCAGGCAACAUAAAGGGUGGAUAGAUAAACAUAAAGGAGACCUUAAAGGAAAGUCCACAUGUCUCAUCCUUGGAUCACCAGCACAGCCUCUAUUAUCCUUCAUUUUCUCAACAUGUGCAAACCAUCUCAGUACUCAUUGCUCUUACCACCUGUUCUUCCUCAUAUUUGACUCUGUCCAUCCAAGUUACUCUGCACACACACUCAGACAUCUCAGCACUGUGCACUGCAGAGUGCACAUUCAUUCUCUUCACAUUCAUUGUAAGUACCCUACUCUCAAACAGUCUAUUCAAACAGUCCAUUCAUAACUCCUAACCCUUUCCUGCUUCCUUCACCAGAGCUCUAACCCCCAUUUCUACCCUCCAUCCACUGCUGCUAAAGAUCCAAGAUAUUCGAAACAGCUCAUCAUUCGGAAUUUUACUCACCCUACUGCUUGCCUCCAUGGUGUAACUUCAUUACCUUACUCUUUCCUACACUAUAACCUUCAGUUUCCUUCUACACACUUAUCCAAACUCCUGUACCAGCCUAGUAAAAGUUAAAGGUGAACAGCAAUUUGGAAUGGUGUCAAGUGUACAGAGAAAAAGAGCAAGGGAGGGAGUUACCCUACUACAGAAACUGAUGUGGGUGAAGUUGAGAGAUUUGGGCUAGUUAGUGAAAGAGAUGAGAUGGAAAGGAAGGAUUUUUUAACUAAUUAAGAAUCUGUAACAAGGUGUCAACAUACUAGUCAUGGAGGACUUAAACAUUUUAUGUUGGUAGCAAAGUAGAUGGUGUAGGAGGUAUGGUUGGUAUAGGGUAGCUGGAAGGAAUAGAACGAGAAAAUUUGAUAGAACUGUAUGGAGUGAGCUAGCAAUUGCAAGUACAUGAUGAUUCAAUAAGAAAGAUUCAUACAAGUUUACAUAACAAGAGGCAAGAUUGUAGAUUCAUACAAGUUUACAUAACAAGAGGCAAGAUUGUUGAAUAUGAUAGUGAUGAGAGGGAGAGAGAGAGAAAUAUGUCAGACCACUUCCUAGCUGAGGGCAAACUGAGUAAGGUGUAUGGCAAGGAACUGAGCAUAGGGAAAUUCAGAUGUUGAAUAAUGAAUGAUUGGAGAGAGCAGGUGAGUGAUGUUGAGACAGUGGAGUAAUUUUAAAAGAAUGCCAUAGUGGAGAGAGUAGUGGUGUGUGGUGCGAGACCAGUGGGAAAAUGGAGCCAUAGUGGAGAGAGUAGUGGUGUGUGGUGCAAGACCAGUGGGAAAAUGGAGUGAGGGAAGUGAAUGUUGGUGUACAGGAAAAUAGGAUGGGAGGUAGAAGGAAAGCAUUACACAAGCAAAAAGAGCCGUGUGUGAUGUGACAGGAAGGGAUGCUGAAAGAUGGGGGAGAAAGUUCCCAGAGAAUGGGUUGAAGAAAAUAAAGAAAUGUUCUUUAGAGACAGUGGUCCUGCAUACUGCAACUCUCCUGCAGCAAAUACCAUCCAGAAGUAUAUUAGUGACUCCACAUGCACAGAGGGCCCUUCCAGGAUGCUGAGUGGUGGUGAUUGAUGGUAUCCCUGAAAAUAACUGUAAUGCACAUACCAUUAAUAUAAUAAAAAUGACAAUACAAAUUCUCAAAAAUAUCUUCUAAAAUAGCAGGGCAAGUGUUCCUACAGUGCACUGGUAAUGAGAGCUGUUCUCAUGCACUUUUCUUUUAAACUAUGUAUAUUUGUCAUCUAAUGAUCAUAAAAUCUGAAUGCACCUAAAAUCUCUAAAAUCUGCAUACUGCAUGCAUGAAUUGAAGGAAAUCUCGGCUAGUGAACAGAAAAGUAAUGUUUGCAUGUCAUAAGUAGCCUGCCAUACAACACUAUUAUAUCUUCCAGUGCUUUGUGACAUUAGAUUAACAAUUUGAGAGCCAUUAAGGCCAGGCAGAAACCUUUCUUUAAUGCUGGUGAUUAUGAAAUGAAAUCAAAACAAUCACCAUGACUCCUUUUCUAGCAACUUCGUCUUCUUUAUUAGGUACAAAUCAUUAAUGUCAAUGAACAUUAUUAAUUCUACAGAUCAGCACUACAACCUUCAUAAUUUAUAUAAGAACUACAUAGCUAUGGACAUUUAAAUUUAUACCUAUUGUGUGAUCUAAUGAGUCAAUAACAUGUAAAGGCAAGCAAUUCUACAAUUUAGUGAGAACAGGAAUGAGCAAGGAAAGAAAUUUAUGCAAAUGCAGGAAUGACAAGCAUGGGACAAAAUAAACAAGCUUGACAAUGAUUGCUGUUUAGCUGUUUAGUUAGCCUUAACUAAAUACACUUUGCAUUACACUACCCUGCUACAACACCCUGCCUACCAUGCUGUGUUUUGUAGUAGACUGACACUACCCUGCUACACCCUGCCUACCAUGCUGUGUUCUGUAGUAGACUGGGCAGGAUGCAUAUUUAGUAUUACAGAAAGAUGACACAGGGAUACAUGGGUAUGUAACUUGUCUGAUCUACUUGAGUGAGUGGCCACAGGAGAAUAUCUUUACUUGUUAACUUCUACACAAGAAUUGGUAUAUAACUCCAUCUACUCAAGUGCAGAUCAUCAUCAUCUUUACUAUAUAUAACUCCUCGACACAGGGAUAGGUGUGUAACUCAUCUGGUUUACUUGAGUGGCCACUGAAGAAGAAGAAUCAAUCUUUACUCAUUAACUAGGUAACUGUGAACCUUAUCCUGGUAUAUACUAACCCUCUCACCCUCAUACACUAAAUUUACUGCCUCAUUUUUCACAAUCUCAUACCCUCAUUACGCUGCACUAAUAUUGUCCAUGUCACCAUUAUACUCUCAAGUGUAAAUUCUGAAUAAAAGGAAAUGCAUGUUA